CAGCCGCCGCGGUAAUACGAAGGGGGCUGGCGUUGUUCGGAUUUACUGGGCGUAAAGCGCACGUAGGCGGACUUUUAAGUCAGGGGUGAAAUCCCGGGGCUCAACCCCGGAACUGCCUUUGAUACUGGAAGUCUUGAGUAUGGUAGAGGUGAGUGGAAUUCCGAGUGUAGAGGUGAAAUUCGUAGAUAUUCGGAAGAACACCAGUGGCGAAGGCGGCUCACUGGACUGGUAUUGACGCUGAGGUGCGAAAGCGUGGGGAGCAAACAGGAUUAGAUACCCCUGUAGUCCCUGUCUCUUAUAC
rnacentral:rRNA from 1 species